rnacentral:rRNA from 1 species
GGGUAAAGGCCUACCCAGGCGACGAUCUGUAGCGGGUCUGAGAGGAUGAUCCGCCACACUGGGACUGAGACACGGCCCAGACUCCUACGGGAGGCAGCAGUGGGGAAUAUUGGACAAUGGGGGGAACCCUGAUCCAGCCAUGCCGCGUGUGUGAAGAAGGCCUUAUGGUUGUAAAGCACUUUAAGCGAGGAGGAGGCUACUCUAGUUAAUACCUAGGGAUAGUGGACGUUACUCGCAGAAUAA